rnacentral:rRNA from 1 species
GUUGACCUCGAAUCAGGUAGGGAUACCCGCUGAACUUAAGCAUAUCAAUAAGCGGAGGAAAAGAAACCAACCGGGAUUACCCUAGUAACGGCGAGUGAAGCGGUAACAGCUCAAAUUUGAAAUCUGGCUCCCUGCGGAGUCCGAGUUGUAAUUUGUAGAAGAUGCUUUGGGUGCUCGGCCCGGUCUAAGUUCCUUGGAACAGGACGUCGUAGAGGGUGAGAAUCCCGUAUGCGGCCGGGGUGGGUGCUCGUGUAAAGCUCUUUCGACGAGUCGAGUUGUUUGGGAAUGCAGCUCAAAAUGGGUGGUAAAUUUCAUCUAAAGCUAAAUAUGGGCCAGAGACCGAUAGCGCACAAGUAGAGUGAUCGAAAGAUGAAAAGCACUUUGGAAAGAGAGUUAAACAGUACGUGAAAUUGUUGAAAGGGAAGCGCUUGCAACCAGACUUGGGCGUCGCUGAUCAUCCAAAGUUUUCUUUGGUGCACUCGACGACGUACAGGCCAGCAUCGGUUGGGGUGGUGGGAGAAAGGUUGUAGGAACGUAGCUCUUUUCGGGGAGUGUUAUAGCCUGNGACGCAAUGCCGCCUACCCUGACCGAGGACCGCGCUUNGGCUAGGAUGCUGGCGUAAUGGUUGUAAGCGACCCGUCUUGAAACACGGACCAAGGAGUCUAACAUCUAUGCGAGUGUUUGGGUGCGAAACCCAUGCGCGAAAUGAAAGUGAACGUAGGUGAGAACCCUUCGAGGGGGCAUCAUCGACCGAUC